GACGUAGGGCGCGAGCGUUGUCCGGAUUUAUUGGGCGUAAAGAGCUCGUAGGCGGCUUGUCGCGUCGAAUGUGAAAUCUCGGGGCUCAACUCCGAGCUUGCAUUCGAUACGGGCAGGCUAGAGUUCGGUAGGGGGAGACUGGAAUUCCUGGUGUAGCGGUGAAAUGCGCAGAUAUCAGGAGGAACACCGGUGGCGAAGGCGGGUCUCUGGGCCGAUACUGACGCUGAGGAGCGAAAGCGUGGGGAGCGAACAGG
rnacentral:rRNA from 1 species